rnacentral:rRNA from 1 species
GACGUAGGGGGCCAGCGUUGUUCGGAAUUACUGGGUGUAAAGAGUUCGUAGGCGGUUCGUUAAGUCUGAUGUUAAAGACUGGGGCCCAACCCUGGGAGUGCAUUGGAUACUGGCGGACUGGAGUGCAGUAGAGGCAAGCGGAAUUCCAGGUGUAGCGGUGAAAUGCGCAGAUAUCGGGAAGAACGCCCGUGGCGAAGGCGGUUCUCUGGGACGGUACUGACGCUGAGACGCGAAAGCGUGGGGAGCGAACAGG